rnacentral:rRNA from 1 species
GACCAGACUCCUACGGGAGGCAGCAGUGGGGAAUAUUGCACAAUGGGGGAAACCCUGAUGCAGCGACGCCGCGUGAGUGAAGAAGUAUUUCGGUAUGUAAAGCUCUAUCAGCAGGGAAGAAAAUGACGGUACCUGACUAAGAAGCCCCGGCUAAAUACGUGCCAGCAGCCGCGGUAAUACGUAUGGGGCAAGCGUUAUCCGGAUUUACUGGGUGUAAAGGGAGCGUAGGCGGCCUGGCAAGCCUGAUGUGAAAUACCGGGGCCCAACCCCGGGGCUGCAUUGGGAACUGCCAGGCUGGAGUGCCGGAGAGGCAGGCGGAAUUCCUAGUGUAGCGGUGAAAUGCGUAGAUAUUAGGAGGAACACCAGUGGCGAAGGCGGCCUGCUGGACGGUGACUGACGCUGAGGCUCGAAAGCGUGGGGAGCAAACAGGAUUAGAUACCCGCGUAGA